GGUAAUGCCGGAUGCUCCAGUUGAUCGCAUGGUCUUCUGGGAAAGCUUUCGCGGUAUGGGAUGGGGUCGCGUCCUAUCAGCUUGACGGCGGGGUAACGGCCCACCGUGGCUUCGACGGGUAGCCGGCCUGAGAGGGCGACCGGCCACAUUGGGACUGAGAUACGGCCCAGACUCCUACGGGAGGCAGCAGUGGGGAAUAUUGCACAAUGGGCGCAAGCCUGAUGCAGCGACGCCGCGUGAGGGAUGGAGGCCUUCGGGUUGUAAACCUCUUUUAUCGGGGAGCAAGCGAGAGUGAGUUUACCCGUUGAAUAAGCACCGGCUAACUACGUGCCAGCAGCCGCGGUAAUACGUAGGGUGCAAGCGUUAUCCGGAAUUAUUGGGCGUAAAGGGCUCGUAGGCGGUUCGUCGCGUCCGGUGUGAAAGUCCAUCGCUUAACGGUGGAUCCGCGCCGGGUACGGGCGGGCUUGAGUGCGGUAGGGGAGACUGGAAUUCCCGGUGUAACGGUGGAAUGUGUAGAUAUCGGAGAGAAACA
rnacentral:rRNA from 1 species